GGUUUGAUCGGGCGGCUCAGAUUGAACGCUGGCGGGAUGCUUUACACAUGCAAGUCGAACGGCAGCACGGACUUCGGUCUGGUGGCGAGUGGCGAACGGGGUGAGUAAUGUAUCGGAACGCCUAGUAGCGGGGAUAACUACGCGAAAGCGUAGCUAAUAAUGUGAUGGCCCUUCGGGGGAAAGCGGGGACCUUCGGGCCUCGCACUAUUAGAGCGGCCGAUAUCGGAUUAGCUAGUUGUGGGGUAACGUGGUCACCACAGGACAUCCGGUAGCUGGUUUGAGAGGACGACCAGCCGUUACCUCGGGACUGAGACACGGCCCAGACUCCUACGGAGGCAGCAGUGGGGAAUUUUGGACAAUGGGGAAACCCCUGGAUCCAGCCAUCCCGCGUGUGCGAUGAAGGCCUUUUUGUUGUAAAGCACUUAUGAAAGAAACGGCACGGGAUAAUACCCUGUGCAAUGAUUUGCACUGCAGAAUAAGCACUGGCAACGAUGCAACAGCAGAAAGUCGCGGUAAUACGUGUAGGUGUGUUAAUCAAAAUUACUGGGCGUAAAGCGUGCGCAGCAGGCGGCUCGGAAAGAAAGAUGAAAUCCCAGAGCUUAACUUUGGAACUGCAUUUUUAACUACUGAGCGAGUGUGUCAGAGGGAGGUGGAAUUCGUGGCAGUGAAACGCGGAGAUAUGCGGAGGAACACCGAUGGCGAAGGGCAGCCUCCUGGGAUAACACUGACGCUCAUGCAUCGAAAGUGGGGAGUAAAACAGGAUUAGAUACCCUGGUAGUCCACGCCCUAAACGAUGUCAACUAGCUGGGUUGUGCCUUCGCCCGGUAAAGCGCAGCUAACGCGUGAAGUUGACCGCCUGGGGAGUACGGUCGCAAGAUUAAAACCAAAGGAAUUGACGGGACCUACACAAGCGGUGGAUGAUGUGGAUUAAUUCUGAUGCACGCGAAACCUUACCUACCCUUGACAUGUCUGAAUCCCGAAGAGAUUUGGGAGUGCUCGUGAGAACUGGAACACAGGUGCUGCAUGGCUGUCGUCAGCUCGUGUCGUGAGAUGUUGCUAAGUCCCAACGAGCGUAACCCUUGUCAUUAGUUGCUACGAAAGGGCACUCUAAUGAGACUGCCGGUGACAAACCGGAGGAAGGUGGGGAUGACGUCAAGUCCUCGCAGCCUCAGGUAGGCUUCGGCACGCCGCAAUGGUCGGGUCGCCAACUCCGCGAGGGGGAGCCAAUCCCAGAAACCCGAUCGUAGUCCGGAUCGCAGUCUGCAACUCGACUGCGUGAAGUCGGAAUCGCUAGUAAUCGCGGAUCAGUGCUGUCGCGGUGAAUACGUUCCCGGGUCUUGUACACACCGCCCGUCACACCAUGGGAGUGGGUUUUACCAGAAGUAGUAGCUCAACUCGUAAGGAGGGCGAUUACCACGGUAGGAUUCAUGACUGGGGUGGAAGCUUUUAACAAGGUAG
rnacentral:rRNA from 1 species